AUUGAACGCUGGCGGCAUGCUCAACACAUGCAAGUCGAACGGUAACAGGUUAAGCUGACGAGUGGCGAACGGGUGAGUAAUGCAUCGGAACGUGCCCGAUCGUGGGGGAUAACGCAGCGAAAGCUGCGCUAAUACCGCAUACGAUCUGAGGAUGAAAGCGGGGGACCGUAAGGCCUCGCGCGAUCGGAGCGGCCGAUGUCAGAUUAGGUAGUUGGUGGGGUAAAGGCUCACCAAGCCAACGAUCUGUAGCUGGUCUGAGAGGACGACCAGCGACACUGGGACUGAGACACAGCCCAGACUCCUACGGGAGGCAGCAGUGGGGAAUUUUGGACAAUGGGCGAAAGCCUGAUCCAGCAAUGCCGCGUGCAGGAAGAAGGCCUUCGGGUUGUAAACUGCUUUUGUACGGAGCGAAAAGGCCCUCUCUAAUACAGGGGGUUUAUGACGGUACCGUAAGAAUAAGCACCGGCUAACUACGUGCCAGCCGCCGCCGUAA
rnacentral:rRNA from 1 species